rnacentral:misc_RNA from 1 species
AACGCACAUUGCGCCCGCUGGUUUUUCCAGCGGGCAUGCCUGUUCGAGCGUCAUUUCAAACCUCAAGCCCUGGCUGCUUGGUGUUGGGGCUUCAUUGCUGCGAAAACCGCAGGCCCCGAAUGCAAUCGGCGGGCCCGUCCGCGACCCCGAGCGUAGUAACAUUUUCGUCUCGCCCAGGGCUGUCCGGCGGGCAUGUCCGGCCGCUAAAAACAGCAACCUCUGGGUUCUAUUUUUCACAGUUUGACCUCGGAUCAGGUAGGAAUACCCGCUGAACUUAA